rnacentral:lncRNA from 1 species
ACCAUAUACCAUGUCUUAUCAGUGGUCCCUGUCUCCCUUCUUGUACAAUCCAGAGGAAUAUUUUUAUCAACUAUUUUGUAAAUGCAAGUUUUUUAGUAGCUCUAGAAACAUUUUUAAGAAGGAGGGAAUCCCACCUCAUCCCACUUUUUAAGUGUAAAUGCUUUUUUUAAGAGGUGAAAUCAUUUGCUGGUUGUUUAUUUUUUGGUACAACCAGAAAAUAGUGUGGGAUAUUGAAUUAUGGGAGGCUCUGACUGUCUCGGGUGUCAGCUUAACAUUCCAUAGAUGGGGGGGUUAGUUUUUAUAUCCUAUAAUACAAAGCAUAUUAAAUGGCAAUAUGGAGUCAGUCCUGCAUUUAAUGUCUUGAACAUUUUAAAUUACUUCUAUU